ensembl:lncRNA
GUUUGGUGUUGUCCUGCUCUGGAUGGCAGCAUAUGUUGCUCCAAAAUGUGUACAUAUCUUUUUGUAUUAAUGAUGCCCUCACAGAUAUGAAGGUUACCCAUGCCAUGUGCCCUGACACACCCCCAUACCAUGACAGACGCUGGAUUUUGGACAUGACGCUGAUAACAGCUUUGAGGGUCCAUUUCCUCUUUGGCCUGGAGAACACAACGGCUGUUUUGUCCAAAAACUAUUUGAUAUGUUGACUCGUUGGACCACAAAACACGAUUCCGCUGUGCUACUGUCCAUCUUAGAUGACAGCGAGUCCAGAGAAGUCGGCGGUGCUACAGGACAGUGUUGAUGUCUGGCUUCUGCUUUGCAUAAUAAAGGCUUAACUUGCAUCUGUGGAUGCAGCGGCGAAUGGUGUUGACUGACGAAGGUUUACCAAAGUAUUCCUGAGCCUUUGUCAGGAUAUCCAUUACAGACUCAUGACGGUUUUUAAGACAGUGACGUCUGAGGGAUUGGAGAUCACGCACAUUCAGUAGUGGUUUUCGGCCUUGCCCUAUACGCACCGAGAUUUGACCAGAUUCCUUAAAUCUUUUAAUUAUAUUGUGCACUGUAGAAGAUGAAUUGCCUAAAAUCCUACCAAUUUGCCUUUGGGGAAUGUUGUUCUCAAAGAGUUGGAUUAUUCGCUGACGCAUCUGUUGGCAGAUUGGCGAGCCUCGACCCAUCCUUACUCUUGAAGGACUAGGCCUUUUUUGCUGUUAGUCCUAAAUUGCCCCAGUCCCAACCUUUUUUGGAACGUGGUCCAUGCAUCAAUUUCAAAAUAAACGUUUACCUUCAAAAAAACUAUACAGUUGACUAGCUAGAACACCAUAUUCCUUGUCUUUAUAGGUUUUUUGUUUAAAUACAAGUCAAAGUACAUUUACAAAUCUUUGUUUGGUACAGAUACAGAUGCAGAUACAGAUACAGGUACAGAUACAGAUACAGGUACAGAUACAGAUACAGGUACAGAUACAGGUACAGAUACAGGUGCAGAUACAAGUACAGAUACAGGUGCAGAUACAGAUACAGACACAGGUGCAGAUACAGGUACAGAUACAGAUACAGGUACAGAUACAGGUACAGAUACAGGUGCAGAUACAGAUACAGACACAGGUGCAGAUACAGGUACAGAUGCAGGUACAGAUGCAGGUGCAGAUACAGGUACAGCUACAGUACAGAUACAGAUACAGGUACAGAUACAGGUACAGAUACAGGUAUAGACACAGGUGCAGAUACAGAUACAGAUACAGGUACAGAUACAGGUAUAGACACAGGUGCAGAUACAGAUACAGGUGCAGAUACAGAUACAGGUACAGAUACAGGUGCAGAUACAGAUACAGGUGCAGAUACAGAUACAGAUACAGGUACAGGUGCAGAUACAAAUACAGGUACAGAUACA